CCUACGGGUGGCAGCAGUGAGGAAUAUUGGUCAAUGGCCGUAAGGCUGAACCAGCCAAGUAGCGUGAGGGAAGACUGCCCUAUGGGUUGUAAACCUCUUUUAUGCGGGGAUAAAGGUGUCCACGUGUGGAUGUUUGCAGGUACCGCAUGAAUAAGGACCGGCUAAUUCCGUGCCAGCAGCCGCGGUAAUACGGAAGGUCCGGGCGUUAUCCGGAUUUAUUGGGUUUAAAGGGAGCGUAGGCCGGUCUUUAAGCGUGCCGUGAAAUUUUGUGGCUCAACCGUAAAAUUGCAAUUGAUACUGGCAGUCUUGAGUACAGUUGAGGUAGGCGGAAUGUAUGGUGUAGCGGUGAAAUGCUUAGAGAUCAUACAGAACACCGAUUGCGAAGGCAGCUUACCAAUCUAUAUCUGACGUUGAGGCACGAAAGCGUGGGGAGCAAACAGGAUUAGAUACCCUUGUAGUC
rnacentral:rRNA from 1 species